CCUUUGUCAUCACGGUUCUGACUGGUUCAUCUCUUCCAGAGCUCUGUGUAGACCUGCUUCAGAAAUGUUGGGUUUCCUGCGUUGGCAGUCCCUUCAAACAAACACUGAAACUUCUUCUUCAGGCAGGCCGACCACUGAGAACUUCGGACCUCUUUCGGUGAUGUCUGUGGACCCAGAAAAUGUGAAGUCAUUUAAGACUUGCUUUUUCUCUCCAAAAGAGAGGUGGGUCCCCACAAUACGUAAAAACAACGUAUGUCCCCACAACAGGAGUAAUACAAGUAUUUACACACACACAACAAACUCACUAUGGUAUGAGAACAUUUAAUUGACUUACAUCAUCCUUCCCUGGAGGCUUAACCUUACUUUAACUGUAAUUGUUACAUGCCAAUGUUUUACCAAGUCUUAAAGGACUC